rnacentral:misc_RNA from 1 species
UUUCCGUAGGUGAACCUGCGGAAGGAUCAUUAAUGUGUUUGGGCCUCACGGCCCUUCAUUCCGACGCUGUGCGCCUUCGGGCUGCACGCUGAGGGAGCAUAUAUCCACCCCUGUGCACACACACGGUGGCGAGCUGGGUAACGGCUCGCCGCUGAUCUUUACACACGUCUAAAAGUCAUUGUAUGUUUAUUUGAGAUAAAAACACAACUUUCAGCAACGGAUCUCUUGGCUCUC